GCGAUGGUGCAGCGGUUAGCAUACGCUCUUGGAAAGAGUGACAUCUGGGUUCGAAUCACGGCUGAGGCA